UGGGGAAUAUUGCACAAUGGACGGAAGUCUGAUGCAGCAACGCCGCGUGCGGGAUGACGGCCUUCGGGUUGUAAACCGCUUUUUCUCAUGACGAAGUUUUUUGACGGUAGUGGGGGAAGAAGCACCGGCUAACUACGUGCCAGCAGCCGCGGUGAUACGUAGGGUGCGAGCGUUGUUCGGAAUUAUUGGGCGUAAAGAGCUUGUAGGCGGUUUGUCGCGUCGAUAGUGCAAACUCAGUGCUUAACGCUGAGCCUGCUGUUGAUACGGGCAGACUAGAGGAAGGUAGGGGAGAAUGGAAUUCCCGGUGGAGCGGUGGAAUGCGCAGAUAUCGGGAGGAACACCGGUGGCGAAGGCGGUUCUCUGGGCCUUUCCUGACGCUGAGAAGCGAAAGCGUGGGGAGCGAACAGG
rnacentral:rRNA from 1 species